UCUUUUCAGGAUGCGUUUGGUCACGGAGUUGUAAGAUGCUUUGGCAGAUUUGAAACUCGCGCCGAAUGCAAAAAGGUGCUGAUGUGGAUGCCGUGAGCGAAAGAGAGAGAAAGGGGGAUAGAAAGGGAAAGUGAAUCGGCUCCCUUUCACCGUCAUAUUCCAUCAAGGUGAGUGGCCCAGGUGCGACCUUUACCUGUGCGGGGCCUCGGUUCACCUGUCUUGUUGCCCACCUGCCCUAUUGCCCCAUAAUUACAGGUACGUGUGUUGGUCCACUGCCAGAAAUAUUCAAGGUUAGUAAGAAGUGCAUGGGAGGCUUCUUCACUUUAUAUUAUGCUGUAGUAGUAGUAGUAGUAGUAGUAGUAGUAGUAGUAGGGAAUGGAGGAGGUAAUGAAAUAAUAUAAGCCAGAGAGUGAGGAGGAGGAAGAGGAGGAGGAGGAGGAGGGAGGAAAAUAAGCAGAAAGGAACAGAUAAAGAGAACUUGUAGAGGAUGGAAGAUGAGGAGGAAGGAAAAGAUGCAGAAAACAAGUAGAAGGUGAAGAAGGAAAAAAAGAGGAAGAACGAACACGAGAGAGAAGGGAUGGAAGAAUAUGAAAGAGUAAAGAAUCAAAGAGAGAGAAAGUAAAGGCGGUGAAAGAAGAGAGAGAAGGAGAAGGAGAGAGGGAGAUAAGAAUAAAAAGAAAAAAGACAAUCAAGAAGGAAGAAGAGAAGAAGAGAAUAAGAAAAGAGGAAAAAGGAAGAAAAGAGAAAGAAGAAAAGGCAGCAGUCAUAUAGUAGAAAGAAGAAAGAGAAAAAGGAGGAAAAUAAGAGAGGAGAGAGGAAUAAAAAGAAGAAAAAGAAGAAGAAUGCAAGAGAGAGGGAAAAAAGCAAUUGCGCAUUAGAAGGAGGAGGAGGAGGAGGAGGAGGAGGAGGAGCAAUAUAUAACAUUCAUCUUCUCUAUCAGGUACAAACAACACCCAUUCUCAUUCCUCUUCAUACACAAACCCCAAAAAACAAAAGCAAGUGCAGCUCUUUAGCGAAUCCUUGUGUUUGCGUGAGGCUGUACAAUUAGUUCAUCUCGUCCCGCUUGGUAUCACGUCAAACAACACCCAUUCUCAUUCCUCUUUAAACACAGACCCCAAAAAAAAAAAAGCAAGUGCAGCUCUUUAGCGAAUCAUUGUGCUUGCGUGAGGUUGUACAAUUAGUUCAUUUCGUCCCGCAAUAGUGUCACGUCAGCUCUCCUACCCUCGUGCCGCCCCUUCACAAAUCACGGUGUUAAAUGCAGCCUCUUAUCUCACCCUUAAUACCGCAAAGCAUCAGUGUUCUCGUGGGAAACCUUGCAUAGCGUGACAGGAGGUUAGUUUUAGGCGCCCAGGCUCACACGUUUGACAAGACUUUCGUAAAUGAGAGAGAAACGAGAAGCAAAGAGAGAGAAACGAGCAGACAGCGAGAGAGAGAGAGAGAGAGAGAGAGAGAGAGAGAGAGAGAGAGAGAGAGAGAGAGAGAGAGAGAGAGAGAGAGAGAGAGAGAAACGGUAAGCAAAGAAAGGAACGCUAACUUGGAUGAGAAACAGGAAAGAUGGGAGAAGUAACACAGAAGAAGAAGCACAAGAGAUAGAGAGAAACUGAGAGAAAAGAGAGGAACAGUAAGAGAUGAGAUAAAUGCAAAGUAAAGAGACAGAAAGAAACGGAGAGGGAAACAGGAAGCAAAGACAGGAGAAGGGAUAGAAAACACCAAGUAA